GACGAACGCUGGCGGCGUGCUUAACACAUGCAAGUCGAACGGAAAGGCCCUGCUUUUGUGGGGUGCUCGAGUGGCGAACGGGUGAGUAACACGUGAGUAACCUGCCCUUGACUUUGGGAUAACUUCAGGAAACUGGGGCUAAUACCGUAUAGGAGCUCCUGCUGCAUGGUGGGGGUGGGAAAGUUUCGGCGGGUGGGGAUGGACUCGCGGCUUAUCAGCUUGUUGGUGGGGGAGUGGCUUACCAAGGCUUUGACGGGUAGCCGGCCUGAGAGGGUGAACGGCCACAUUGGGACUGAGAGACGGCCCAGACUGCUACGGGAGGCAGCAGUGGGGAAUAUUGCACAAUGGGCGGACGCCUGAUGAAGAAACGCCGCGGGCGGGAUGACGGUCUUCGGGUUGUAAACCGCUUUCGCUUGUGACGAAGCGUGAGUGACGGUAAUGGGUAAAGAAGCACCGGCUAACUACGUG
rnacentral:rRNA from 1 species